UACGUAGGUCCCGAGCGUUGUCCGGAUUUAUUGGGCGUAAAGCGAGCGCAGGUGGUUUAUUAAGUCUGGUGUAAAAGGCAGUGGCUCAACCAUUGUAUGCAUUGGAAACUGGUAGACUUGAGUGCAGGAGAGGAGAGUGGAAUUCCAUGUGUAGCGGUGAAAUGCUUAGAUAUAUGGAGGAACACCGGUGGCGAAAGCGGCUCUCUGGCCCGUAACUGACACUGAGGCUCGAAAGCGUGGGGAGCAAACAGG
rnacentral:rRNA from 1 species